rnacentral:tRNA from 1 species
GUCCUGGUAGCUCAACCAGAAGAGUUCCAGCCUCCGAAGCUGAGGGUUGCAGGUGCGAGUCCUGCCCAGGACA